UGUUAUACAUCCGCCUAUGGCUCCCUAGU
rnacentral:piRNA from 1 species